ensembl:lncRNA
UUAUGUGAUACAGUGGUUGCUUCUUCUUGAUCUCAAGUCAAAUUUCCCUUUAGGACAGUAAAGUAUACCUUACCUUACCUGACUUUCGCCAAGCUCUCGGAGCAAACCAGCCUCAGAAGUCAAUUUAUGAUGAUGUCAAUAAACUCAUGCAUGUGCAGGAUGAGUAAUGUGUUGCUUCCAGCAAGUGUGCAGUGUGAGCACCUCAUUCCCCCAAGGCUUCUCAGACAUGGCCUUUAGUGAACCCUACAGUCAUUUAAAGAACCGGCAUUACUCUGCCGUCACAGAGAGCCAUAACUGAGGCUCACUGCGGGGAUCAGGAGCACAGUACCAUUUCACACAUUGUUCUAGCCCUACAGACAUGAUGCUGGUUAAGAAGGAGCAGAAAGAUGCCGAGCUGGAUAGGAAGAUUGAGGCGUUGCGAAAGAAGAACGAGGCCCUUAUGAAGCGCUAUCAGGUGACAGCCAGGACGUUUGUAUUAUUUUCUAGAUUGUUUAACCAAAUUAGAUGAAUGUAUUAAGUCUAGAGUUUUAUCCUUUUUAAUGUGGUCUGUGUUGAG